rnacentral:rRNA from 1 species
GGGGCUCGCUCCCAUAGUUAGUGGCGAACGGGUGAGUAAUAUAUCGGAACAUAUCCGGAAGUGGGGGAUAACGUAGCGAAAGUUACGCUAAUACCGCAUAUGCCCUGAGGGGGAAAGGGGGGGAUCGCAAGACCUCUCGCUUUCGGAGUGGCCGAUAUCGGAUUAGCUAGUAGGUGAGGUAAAGGCUCACCUAGGCGACGAUCUGUAGCUGGUCUGAGAGGACGACCAGCCACACUGGAACUGAGACACGGUCCAGACUCCUACGGGAGGCAGCAGUGGGGAAUUUUGGACAAUGGGCGCAAGCCUGAUCCAGCAAUGCCGCGUGCAGGAUGAAGGCCUUCGGGUUGUAAACUGCUUUUGUACGGAACGAAACGGUUCUCUUUAAUAAAGAGGGCUAAUGACGGUACCGUAAGAAUAAGCACCGGCUAACUACGUGCCAGCAGCCGCGGUAAUA